rnacentral:rRNA from 1 species
GACAUGGGAAGCUUGCUUCCUAUGAAAUCGAGUGGCAAACGGGUGAGUAACGCGUAAACAACCUGCCCUUCGGAUGGGGAUAACAGCCGGAAACGGCUGCUAAUACCGAAUACGAUCUUUUCGUCGCAUGACGGAAAGAAGAAAGGAUGGCCUCUAUACAAAGCUAUCGCCGAAGGAGGGGUUUGCGUCCGAUUAGCUGGUUGGAGGGGUAACGGCCCAACAAGGCGAUGAUCAGUAGCCGGUCUGAGAGGAUGAACGGCCACAUUGGGACUGAGACACGGCCCAGACUCCUACGGGAGGCAGCAGUGAGGAAUCUUCCGCAAUGGACGAAAGUCUGACGGAGCAACGCCGCGUGAGUGAAGAAGGUCUUCGGAUUGUAAAACUCUGUUAUACGGGACGAAAAAGACGGAUGCCAACAGUAUCCGUCCGUGACGGUACC